rnacentral:rRNA from 1 species
AACGAACGCUGGCGGCAUGCCUAACACAUGCAAGUCGAACGAGAUCUUCGGGUCUAGUGGCGCACGGGUGCGUGACGCGUGGGAAUCUGCCCUUUGGUUCGGAAUAACAGUUGGAAACGACUGCUAAUACCGGAUGAUGACGAAAGUCCAAAGAUUUAUCGCCAGAGGAGGAGCCCGCGUAGGAUUAGCUAGUUGGUGUGGUAAAGGCGCACCAAGGCGACGAUCCUUAGCUGGUCUGAGAGGAUGAUCAGCCACACUGGGACUGAGACACGGCCCAGACUCCUACGGGAGGCAGCAGUGGGGAAUAUUGGACAAUGGGCGAAAGCCUGAUCCAGCAAUGCCGCGUGAGUGAUGAAGGCCUUAGGGUUGUAAAGUUCUUUUACCCGGGAUGAUAAUGACAGUACCGGGAGAAUAAGCUCCGGCUAACUCCGUGCCAGCCGCCGCCGUAA